AAAAUUGGAAUGAUACAGAUAUUAGCAUGGUCCCUGUGCAAGGAUGACACACAAAUUCAUGAAGAAUUCCAUAUUAAA
rnacentral:snRNA from 1 species